rnacentral:rRNA from 1 species
AUUGAACGCUGGCGGCAGGCUUAACACAUGCAAGUCGAGCGGUAGCACAGGGGAGCUUGCUCCCUGGGUGACGAGGGGGGGAGGGGGGAGAAAUGUCGGGAAAAUUGCUGGAUGGAGGGGGUAAACUCCGGGAAACGGUACUAAUACCGGCUAAACUUCGCAAGCCCAAAGAGGGGGACUUUCGGGCGUUUUGCCUUCAAAUGGGCCCAGAUGGGAUUAGCUAGUAGGUGGGGUAAUGGCUAACCUAGGCGACGAUCCCUAGCUGGUCUGAGAGGAUGACCAGCCACACUGGAACUGAGACACGGUCCAGACUCCUACGGGAGGCAGCAGUGGGGAAUAUUGCACAAUGGGCGCAAGCCUGAUGCAGCCAUGCCGCGUGUGUGAAGAAGGCCUUCGGGUUGUAAAGCACUUUCAGCGAGGAGGAAGGUGGUGAGCUUAAUACGUUCAUCAAUUGACGUUACUCGCAGAAGAAGCACCGGCUAACUCCGUG